UAUAUUCGACCCGGAAGAUCAUUUCUCCAGCUAUUAACCACGACGAUGUGAACUAUUAGAACGAUUUUCUCUUUCACGUGACUUCUUCAACCUUGAUUAUUUCUGUGAUUCUUUGGAAGCCAAUUGAAGGACCGUUCAGUAACAAAAUUAAGAUGUCCUGGUUGUUUCACUUGCUUGAAAGCCUCCUUAUUUACGAGAGCAUAGUUUUUCUGGUGUUUCCAGUGUCUGUAUUAAAUUCAGAGGUAUCAUUCCUUCAAGCUGUUGUGGACUCUCAGGUCCAGCUACCCUGCAAUAUCAGCCUUCCUUCUGAGGACGACUCUGUAUCGUUGGUGUUGUGGUACAAAUCAGGAAUAAGUGCUCCAAUUUUCAGUGUAGACUCUAGAAAAGGGCCACUGCAAAAAUCCAAACACUUCACCAGUGAUUUCCUGGGACAGCGUGGUUACUUGGACUUUAGUUUGGACGCUGACUUAGCCUUUCUAACCAUCAAAACUGUGGAAAAGGAGGAUGAAGGAGACUACAAUUGUAGGGUUGACUUUCGAUGGGGACGAACUCUCAAAAGCGCUGUAAAAGUAGAAGUUAUCAUUCCUCCUAGGAGCGUCACAAUCACUAAUGAGAAAAACGAGCUUCUGUAUGGAAGGAUAGGUCCUUAUGACGAAGGUUCUUCCCUCAUUCUUCGCUGUGUUGCAAAAGGAGCAAAACCAUCUCCAACAGUGACGUGGUGGAGAAAUUCUAUUCAAAUUGAUGAUAGUUUCCAGGAAACGCAAGAUCACACAGUUCGAAAUGAUUAUAUUGUACAAGAACUUUCGCAAGAGGAUUUGAUGACAGAAAUCACGUGUCAGGCUUCCAACACUAACCUUACCUCACCGAAGAUCGCUUCUGUGUUCAUCGAUAUGAAUUUGAAACCAGUGAAUGUACGUCUCAUUUCAACCCGCCGCCAUUUUUCUGCUGGUCGUCAAUUCGGAGUCGAGUGUCAAACAACGGGGUCACGUCCUCCUGCACAUAUCACCUGGUGGUUAGGAACUCGGAAGAUGGAAGGUGCUAUGGACACGGUGAGGGAUGGUGGAAAUCGAACCGUCAGCAACCUCGUCUUUACGCCCUCUAGCGACGACAAUGGAAAAUAUUUGUCCUGUCGGGCGGAAAACCCCAAGAUGCCAGGAAUUUCAAAAACUGACGGAUUGACCUUAAAUGUAUAUUAUCCACCUAUGAUGUUCGUAUUCCUGGCUCCUAAUCAAGUGCCUGACAAAUUGUACGAAGGAGAGAAUAUUUACUUAGAGUGUAAGUUCCAGUCAAACCCAAAGAUCACAAAGAUGGAGUGGCAGUUCAAAGGAAGUACGUUACUAACCAAUACUCGAGCUGGAGUUUUUGUUCACAACCAAUCACUUGUCUUGGAAAAUGUAAAAAGAGAACAAAGCGGUAUCUACCGGUGUCUAGCCGAUAACAUAGAAGGUAGAGGAGAAAGUGAGGGGCUGGAGCUUAAAAUCAAGUACGCCCCUGUUUGUAAAGAAGGUCAGAAGAUAGCCUAUGCUGUCACUUUAGAUGAACUCGUUGAAAUAUCUUGCGAAGUUGAGGCUGACCCUGAUGACGUCACUUUUACUUGGACUGUCAAUAAUACUGUGGAAAAUCGGGAAGUCUUGUCCUACGAGAGUGCUGGGUUGAAGAGUGUGGCCCGAUACAUACCACGAGAUGAGAACGAUUUUGGCUUCCUGACGUGCAAGGCACAGAAUGUGGUCGGGGUUCAGAAAGAAGCUUGUAUUUUUACCUUAUUAUCUGUUCGAGCACCAGAACAAGUUCACAAUUGCACUAUUUCUAACUACAGUAGUGAUACUUUGAAUGUGGAGUGUCGACCUGGAGAAGACGGUGGUCUGGAACAGCGAUUUUACCUGGAGGCCUAUCUGGUUGAGAACAAGGAACUUCAAGCUAAUGUUAGCAGAAUCACUGAACCAGUUUUUAAGCUUUCUGGACUCGCACCUGGAAAAUCCUUUGUUUUACUCGUUUAUUCUUUUAAUGCUAAGGGUAAGAGUCCUGCCGUUACCAUAACUGCCCAAACCCAGAUCUCUGCUAGAUGGCAUUUAGACUACCCAACCACUCUGAAGCCUCAUCUAGGAAUAUUGGUGGGAGUUGUGACAGCUUUAGUUCUUCUUGCUAUCAUUAUUGUAUUAUUGAUUCGGAUGAAAGGAGAGAGAGAAGAAAGCGAGAAAGGUGAUGUUUCAGAAGCCACCGUAGAAGACAAGUACAGUGCGGUUUCCGAGGACUUGGGUACAAAUAAGAACAUGGACUCAUCCAGUGACCCUGAUCUGAUUCCAUUGCGGAACUUCCCGACGAGUAGAUGCAGAAGAAACAGAUGUUCUCAGGAUGAAAGAACAAUCAACAAGCAAGAAUCCUUUUGGUAAUGCAAACAGACAGUUGUAUUACGAGAAACAGACAAACUACGAAGAAUGCAGCGAUACACCUUCACCCGAGAGGCAUUCUUUAAAGACUUAUAAUGAGGACAGUGGUGGGUUUUCUG
rnacentral:misc_RNA from 1 species